UCCCUGCUGGCUCAGACGGUAAAGCAGCAGCUUGCAAUGCAGAAGACCCAGGUUUGAUCCCUGGGUCGGGAA
rnacentral:tRNA from 1 species